CCUACGGGAGGCAGCAGUGGGGAAUAUUGGACAAUGGGGGAAACCCUGAUCCAGCGACGCCGCGUGUGUGAAGAAGGCCUGCGGGUUGUAAAGCACUUUUAGUGGGGAUGAAAAGCUCAGGGCUAAUACCUCUGGGUCUUGACCUAACCCACAGAAAAAGCACCGGCUAACUCUGUGCCAGCAGCCGCGGUAAUAAUCUG
rnacentral:rRNA from 1 species